AGCAAACUUGUAAUAUAUUAUUUAUAGUUUUUCAAACGAUUCAACAAUAGCAACAUGUAAGCGUUAUGAUCAGCGUGUGAUAUUCAUAUUUUAGAAUUAGUUAUUCAUCGAAACAAGCACUGGAAAGGCAGAAAGGCUUGCCAAGCGAUCAAUUAUAUAUGUAUAUUUUUUUCUUCUUCUUUGUAUUGAGACCCAAAAUAGCGUUUGCUUUUAACACAACUCUGUCAUAAGUUAGAAUCAAUUGUUAUUUUUGUUCACCAUUCACUGUAUCAAACUAAUUUUAAGAUUUUAUUACUUGACCUUACAUUCAUAGGUCACUCAGCGAUGCUCUUUCGUUUAUUUAUAAACUAAUAUUAAUAUUUUCUCAUGCUCGGCAUCGAGGAUUUGUAAGGGUCGAAUCUAUCGUAGGAUGGACCCGUUCCAGGCGGCGCCAGACCCAGCGAUGGCAUGGGCCCACCCUGAUACAAGGGUGGACCCGGGUGUCGCAUUGUGCUUCCGAUACUCGCAGAACUUCCCCAUCUGGUAGGAGAAAUAUUGGAAACGAGGAGAUUACAUUUGUGAAAUCAGGAUUCUUCGAUCGAAACAUACCUGUUCACAGUUUCAGAAGAACGGCUACUCCAUCCAGAUAUUUCAUUUCGGGGAUCGCGUGGUCCACUGCUUGGCACCGAAUUAAAAGAUUUGCUGAUCGGCUACUUUCAGUGUAUCGACUUUCACCUGUAAACAAUAUGGCAUUUUCUCACCAUAAUUUUUUGUAUGGGUCUGUUGUGUGGCCCUCAGGGACAACUGAUAUACGAAUUAUUUAACCUAACGAUUUUUUAAAUAUACCAAAAAUUCAGAUACAAAACUAUCUUGUUUGAUUGUGGCUAACCUAAUUUAGAAGUGACAAUUAACCAGUAUGCUUUAUUGAAAAAAAAAGGAAGAUUAAGAAAUAAAUGGACUGUGGCAAGAUAUACCGAACGAAUAAGAAGUCCAUAUUUUGAAUCCAGGAAUGAUGGAAGGAAUGAAAAUUUGAAUGCAACUACCGAAGAUUGCCGAUCAAACGUGAUUGGG
rnacentral:misc_RNA from 1 species